rnacentral:rRNA from 1 species
UACGUAGGUGGCGAGCGUUGUCCGGAUUUAUUGGGCGUAAAGCGAGCGCAGGUGGUUUAUUAAGUCUGGUGUAAAAGGCAGUGGCUCAACCAUUGUGUGCAUUGGAAACUGGUAGACUUGAGUGCAGGAGAGGAGAGUGGAAUUCCAUGUGUAGCGGUGAAAUGCGUAGAUAUAUGGAGGAACACCGGUGGCGAAAACGGCUCUCUGGCCUGUAACUGACACUGAGGCUCGAAAGCGUGGGGAGCAAACAGG